ACCAAUUUGGGCUCCGAUAUGAGUUUUUCUUCGCUGCUGGUGAGGAUGCAGCGCUGCCAUAAUCGAGGAUGGAUGCGGGGCCACAUGUUGAGAGGGAGCUGUGGGAAGAUUAAAGCAGGCUUCUUCAUGUGGUUAUGGACGGUUCUAAAUCUCCCAAGAGAGCAAGAAGUAGAAAUCCGUACACGUGACGGAAAUUCAAUAAGUCGGAGGGAAAAGCAGGGGCUGCUGGGAAAUACUGACAGCUUCCACUGGUCUGUGGAGACCAACUUGUCCAAACUAUCAUACCGCAGUAUGCUCAUUAUGAAAAACUACAUUUAUCCAGAUAAACAGACAACGUGUUUCUCUUUAUUCAACUAAAUAAAAUGAUCCACUGUGGUGUCAGCAGGCAGUUGGUUGCCAGAUGGCGGUCGCUCCGCAGUGGCUGAGACUCUGUAGACCUGCGUUAACCCGUCUGGCUGCUUGAAUUAUUAAACAUGUGACUGCUUCAUAGAAAAUGGACCUCUUGGAACCUACAUAGCUCAAAAAUACAUUUACAAUUAUAGCUGUUUUUACAUGUUAAAGAAAUAGUUUUGGG